CCGGCUGUAGCUCAGUUUGGCAGAGCACCGGAUCCGGGAUCCGGGGGUCGCGUGUUCGAGUCACGCCAGCCGGACCA
rnacentral:tRNA from 1 species